CGGGACGGGUGAGUAAUGUCUGGGAAACUGCCCGAUGGAGGGGGGUAACUACUGGAAACGGUAGCUAAUACCGCAUAACGUCGCAAGACCAAAGAGGGGGACCUUCGGGCCUCUUGCCAUCGGAUGUGCCCAGAUGGGAUUAGCUAGUAGGUGGGGUAACGGCUCACCUAGGCGACGAUCCCUAGCUGGUCUGAGAGGAUGACCAGCCACACUGGAGCUGAGACACGGUCCAG
rnacentral:rRNA from 1 species